AAUGCCAUAUAAAGCACCACUGGUCCCCCCACUCAUAAGCUAGCUUUUGUGGUGGGUUCUACCUUUGGGCUUUAUUGGCUUGGUUUAAGGUCCAAUAUGGACGAAAGUGGUAUCAAAGUGUAACGUAACCAACCUUGCACUUCAUCUUUUCUGGAAUAGUUACACUACUAGAAACAUAGUAGUUGUAGGAAAUGCUUUUACUUAAUUUGUAUGAAGUUUAGAUUAUAGUCUGUUCUCUUUUGGCUGCUUGUAGUAUACUGACUAUAGGUUAUCAAGCUUUGUAUUUGAUAAAUUUAUAGUCUGUUCACUGGUUAUCAAGCUUUGUAUUUGAUAAAUUUAUGUGUGAUUUAAAAAUGAUUCAGUGGAUUCCUCUACCUUAGUGACAUAGUACACUCCAGAUAUUGCUAUGUCUAAUUUUUUCCUAUAUGUUGGUCGUAUUUUAGUCCAUCUUGAUCAGCUGACCAAAGGCUCUCUAUAUUAUGGCAGGUUAGGUUGUUAUCUCUUCUCAACCUUAGAUAUGGCUUACAACGUGGUCUCAGUUUUGCGAUUAAAUUAUAAUUAUGUUGUAUGUAUAUAGCCAUUAGAAAAGGAACACUUACUAGAGGCAGGAAGGUUCAGAUCUAUUUUGUCCAACUCUUUACUGUGUUUAUACAGUUACACUUGUGGUUGGUAUACAUGAAAAAUAAAGAUAAAAAGUUUUGUACGGUUUCCUUACAAACAAUGUUCUGGCAGGAAAAGGACUGGUUUCCGCAACUCAUUUGAAAUAAAAGUCUACUAUUAUCAAUCACACAUUUGUGCUUGAGCAAAGGCUUCCUGCCUCUGGUGUUUUGUUUUUGAGACUUACAGUUAAUUUCAUCUCAGUAGAUACUGCAACUGUGAUCUUGUGCCAUAGAUCCGUUUUUUCUGAUGGAGAUACCACUACAGAGAGUCUAGAAACAUCUUAGUCUCUCACUAUUCGGAAAGAUCAAAUGUAAACAUUGAUGAUUUCAUAGGAUUGGUAGUAGAAGCAGAGCUUGGUUCUUGGCAUCAUCCUUCAUUUCUAUUGGCUUAUGGUAAAGAUUGGUUGACAAUCCUCGUUUUAUUUAUAAAAGUGGCAUUUCAUGAUUUUCAAAUAAAGAUUGACAGAGAUAGCAUGAUUGAAAGGGUGGAUGGAGCCUCUUGUUAACAUAGGACGGAUCAGCUCGAUGAUCUCACUGUUGGCAGGCUCAUUAUAAUGUCUAUGUCACUUUUCAAAUGUUAUGGUGUAAUGUAAAUGUUAUUGAUGUUCUCGUCCUGUGUAGACCUAUCACAUCUUCAAUGUGCAGCAGUGGUCUCCUCUAGGUUCAUACCUCUUGGCAAUGCAAAAGGAGCCAGUGACUAACUUUUGUGGUAAUAGGGGUGCUUAUUUCCCCUGUCGCAUGUGUUAUGAUCAUCUUAAGGUUUUGUUCUCAUAUUGGUUUUAAAAAAACUGUGCUUCCGUUUUCUCUCCAUUAAUAGGACUGAGAAUUUUGAGAAUUACAUUUGUGUUAUUGAAGGUAGAGAUGUUUGACAUCUCACCAGGAAAUCUGGUUAAGAAUCUUUGAUGUGAGAACUGGGAUAAUAGUGGUUGGACUAGAUGGUCCUGCUGUUGACGCCUCAUGCCCUUUUAUUAGAUGGGCUGGGGGAAAAGAUGAUAAAUACUUUGCCCCUACGGUGGAAUCAUAGAUGAUGAGAUGUUGAAGAAUCAGAAGAGCGCACUACUUGAUCCACUACUUGAUAUAUAGUGAAGAAGAAUCAUCUGUAGACUCGCCAGCUGAAAAAAGAAUAUAGAAAUUUUGGAAAUUGGACAAGAAGAAUCUGAAACCUCAUCAAGUGAAGAAGUGUCAAGUGAAGAAAGCUCGGGUUAAAAUGGGUUGUCUCCGCUAUUUUAUUAAUGUUGGGACUUUAGCUCUUCUCUUAAUCUAUUUGUAAAACUGAAAACCAA